GACGAACGCUGGCGGCGUGCUUAACACAUGCAAGUCGAGCGGUAAGGCCCUUUCGGGGGUAUACGAGCGGCGAACGGGUGAGUAACACGUGAGCAACCUGCCCUUCUCUUUGGAAUAAGCGUUGGAAACGACGUCUAAUGCCGAAUAUGACCCCCUGUCGCAUGGUGGGGUGGAAAGCUCUGGCGGAGAAGGAUGGGCUCGCGGCCUAUCAGCUUGUUGGUGUGGGUAAUGGCCCACCAAGGCGACGACGGGUAGCCGGCCUGAGAGGGUGACCGGCCACACUGGGACUGAGACACGGCCCAGACUCCUACGGGAGGCAGCAGUGGGGAAUAUUGGACAAUGGGCGAAAGCCUGAUCCAGCAACGCCGCGUGAGGGAUGACGGCCUUCGGGUUGUAAACCUCUUUCAGCAGGGACGAAGCGAGAGUGACGGUACCUGCAGAAGAAGGACCGGCCAACUACGUGCCAGCCGCCGCCGUAA
rnacentral:rRNA from 1 species